rnacentral:tRNA from 1 species
CGGAUGUAGCCAAGUGGAUCAAGGCAGUGGAUUGUGAAUCA